ensembl:lncRNA
GGACUCCAUCCGAUUAAAAGGCGCAUUGAUAUUUGCUUUAGGGGGAUUGAUCAAUUAGCUAUUAAUAUUAACAUACCGCCCAACACACCAAAAAUAACUACGUUAUAUGUCCGUAUUGCCUGGACGCAUAAAGCGAUACAUAUAACCACGGGGUUGUUAUUAACGCGUAACGCAAAUGUGUGUUAAGGGAGCACGAAGAACAGCUGGUUACGAUGCAACGAACACAGCCCGCGGGUUCACGACAGGGUGACCAUUUGUACCCAGGUGGCCAUAACCGAACAAGUAAACGCGUUACUUGACGAAAAAUAAAAACGUAACGCACUAUGAAAUGGUUAUAGUGCGCGAGGUGUUUCACCUAAAGGCUGAACGGGUCCUCUGUCACAUGCCGACCGCCCAGCGGACCUCUGAGAGGCCACUGUCCUCCAGACACUAACCAGACACUCGCACGCCGGACCACAUGUGACUGUCCACGGGUCCCCGGAGCUGAGUGCGGAGGCUGUAAGCGGUUUACUGAGAGAAAAAAAAACUAAACUUUCGAUCAAUGCCUUCGCACCCAAAGUUAAUUGCUUUGGCGCGUAAAAGCGCACAGCCCCAGGAUAAUGUGAUUAAUUAGGCCUACCUUUUGGGGGAAUAGACACCUCUCCGUUCCCUCGCUUCAUUGGAGAGACCUGACUGUAUCCGCUGAUGUUAUUGUUCUGAUUUUUCCCCGAUCCAGGGUCGGAGUCGCUUUGUGGAGCAGGAAAUCCCUCUGCUUGAAGACUUUGCCAGCGUUACUAGAAGGCUGUGCUCCUCCAGCCGACAGCGGUGAUGAGAGGUCGCUGCUCGCCUCGGGCGGGCUCCACAGACCCGGCCUGGCAUCGCUCUGCUUCGGGGCCGGCGGGAGCUUCUCUUCCGCGGUGCCGCCGCCUCCCACCACUCCGUCUCUGGUGACUUUCUUCGCUUUCGCGCUCCUCUCCUCGCCUCGGACCUUCUUGGGCGGUGGCGGGUGGAUUUCCCGGGAAGACUUGGGGCGGUUGUCCGAGGCUCCUUUGGUGUGGUUCGGCUUGACGAGAGCGCUUUUCGCGGAGGCAACUUCUGUGGUCGCGGCUGCGGCGGUGCCAGCGAUCUGAACCGAGCCCAGCGAGGCAGCCAUCUUGAGCCUUCUGUCUAUUUACUCUCUUCCCCCAACGGCCACCGCUGCCGUUUGUGCGCGAGGCAAACAGGCAGAGGCGGGACAGGAGCUUGAUUGACAGGCAGGAGAAGCACAACUAGAGGCGGGAUUUACCAACGUAAUGUUCGGCAGGUUGUAGAGCAGGAUCAUCGUAGCCAGACUAUGUCGCAGUGUAAUGAAUAGUAUAUCAUGAGAGCAUUAUGCAGAAUGCGAGAUCACUAUAAGCUAUUUCUAAGAUAAAAAAUAUUUACAUUCACCGUUGCAUAUGCACAUUAUUAUUAGACAUAAG